CUAUACAAUAAUAAAAACAUUAAUGCACAAUUUGUUAUUACCUGGCAAAAAUGGAACCAGCACCCGAUCAAUUGGCAUUCUGGAAUCACUAUUCGUAUUGCAUUUCGCAUGGCUGUUUCAAAAAUCUGAUACAAUACUUACAUUUUGCCAGUCAAAAAUAUCUUCUGGAACUGACUUGAAUUACAAAUGUAAAUUGAAGAAAAUAAAAUUUAAAUAAACUAAAUAUACAGCGUGGAUUGUGAUCAACUGCUCGGCAUCAGCAGGAACUCGCGGAAUAACACCAAAUGUACCAUCAAUUGCCAAGACUCUUGCUUCACGUAGGUAUGGAGCAAUGUGUCGUAUAAAUGUCAAAUUUAAAAAAAUCAAUCCUCCAAAAACCAAUUCUUCAUUGACUACGAACUCCAAGUUUCCAUGGAAGAAUGGUGCAUUAUCGUCUACUGAAUAAAGUAGACGGUUUUGCCAUGUUGGUGACACAAUAAUCUCUCCCAUGGCCCUGAGAUUAUCUGGUGUUGGGGGAUUCACACUUCGUCGCACAUAGCGCAUUGCCCGUAGUGCUUGCUCACGAGACACCUCUAUAGCUGCAUUUGGAAAUCUAAAAAAUUGUUAUUCAUAAUUGUCCGUGCAGGUGUCCCCUCUGUUAAAGCACGCCGUCUCAUUGCAUCGUAGAAUGCCCCAAUCUCUAUAUCAUGCCCUACAUGAUGAUUGUGUGGUUGAUACAUUAGAAUCGGACUAUUUUCUGGAAAUAGUGACAUUGAUGCAGUAGCAGUACAUCCCCGUUCGUAACGCGAACAUCGAAGCUGUCUAUAAGGUU